rnacentral:rRNA from 1 species
UUAAGCGACUAAGCGUACACGGUGGAUGCCCUGGCAGUCAGAGGCGAUGAAGGACGUGCUAAUCUGCGAAAAGCGUCGGUAAGGUGAUAUGAACCGUUAUAACCGGCGAUGUCCGAAUGGGGAAACCCAGUGCAAUUCGUUGCACUAUCGUUAACUGAAUACAUAGGUUAACGAGGCGAACCGGGGGAACUGAAACAUCUAAGUACCCCGAGGAAAAGAAAUCAACCGAGAUUCCCCCAGUAGCGGCGAGCGAACGGGGAGCAGCCCAGAGUCUGAAUCAGCUUGUGUGUUAGUGGAACGGUCUGGAAAGUCCGACGGUACAGGGUGAUAGUCCCGUACACCAAAAUGCACAGGCUGUGAACUCGAAGAGUAGGGCGGGACACGUGGUAUCCUGUCUGAAUAUGGGGGGACCAUCCUCCAAGGCUAAAUACUCCUGACUGACCGAUAGUGAACCAGUACCGUGAGGGAAAGGCGAAAAGAACCCCGGCGAGGGGAGUGAAAAAGAACCUGAAACCGUGUACGUACAAGCAGUGGGAGCACCUUCGGGUGUGACUGCGUACCUUUUGUAUAAUGGGUCAGCGACUUAUAUUCUGUAGCAAGGUUAACCGUAUAGGGGAGCCGCAGGGAAACCGAGUCUUAACUGGGCGUUAAGUUGCAGGGUAUAGACCCGAAACCCGGUGAUCUAGCCAUGGGCAGGUUGAAGGUUGGGUAACACUAACUGGAGGACCGAACCGACUAAUGUUGAAAAAUUAGCGGAUGACUUGUGGCUGGGGGUGAAAGGCCAAUCAAACCGGGAGAUAGCUGGUUCUCCCCGAAAGCUAUUUAGGUAGCGCCUCGUGAACUCAUCUUCGGGGGUAGAGCACUGUUUCGGCUAGGGGGUCAUCCCGACUUACCAACCCGAUGCAAACUACGAAUACCGAAGAAUGUUAUCACGGGAGACACACGGCGGGUGCUAACGUCCGUCGUGAAGAGGGAAACAACCCAGACCGCCAGCUAAGGUCCCAAAGUCAUGGUUAAGUGGGAAACGAUGUGGGAAGGCACAGACAGCCAGGAUGUUGGCUUAGAAGCAGCCAUCAUUUAAAGAAAGCGUAAUAGCUCACUGGUCGAGUCGGCCUGCGCGGAAGAUGUAACGGGGCUAAACCAUGCACCGAAGCUGCGGCAGCGACACUAUGUGUUGUUGGGUAGGGGAGCGUUCUGUAAGCCUGCGAAGGUGACCUGUGAGGGUUGCUGGAGGUAUCAGAAGUGCGAAUGCUGACAUAAGUAACGAUAAAGCGGGUGAAAAGCCCGCUCGCCGGAAGACCAAGGGUUCCUGUCCAACGUUAAUCGGGGCAGGGUGAGUCGACCCCUAAGGCGAGGCCGAAAGGCGUAGUCGAUGGGAAACAGGUUAAUAUUCCUGUACUUGGUGUUACUGCGAAGGGGGGACGGAGAAGGCUAUGUUAGCCGGGCGACGGUUGUCCCGGUUUAAGCAUGUAGGCUGGUUAUCCAGGCAAAUCCGGAUAAUCAAGGCUGAGGUGUGAUGACGAGGCACUACGGUGCUGAAGUAACAAAUGCCCUGCUUCCAGGAAAAGCCUCUAAGCAUCAGGUAACAUCAAAUCGUACCCCAAACCGACACAGGUGGUCAGGUAGAGAAUACCAAGGCGCUUGAGAGAACUCGGGUGAAGGAACUAGGCAAAAUGGUGCCGUAACUUCGGGAGAAGGCACGCUGGUGUGUAGGUGAAGUCCCUGCGGAUGGAGCUGAGACCAGUCGAAGAUACCAGCUGGCUGCAACUGUUUAUUAAAAACACAGCACUGUGCAAACACGAAAGUGGACGUAUACGGUGUGACGCCUGCCCGGUGCCGGAAGGUUAAUUGAUGGGGUUAUCCGUAAGGAGAAGCUCUUGAUCGAAGCCCCGGUAAACGGCGGCCGUAACUAUAACGGUCCUAAGGUAGCGAAAUUCCUUGUCGGGUAAGUUCCGACCUGCACGAAUGGCGUAAUGAUGGCCAGGCUGUCUCCACCCGAGACUCAGUGAAAUUGAACUCGCUGUGAAGAUGCAGUGUACCCGCGGCAAGACGGAAAGACCCCGUGAACCUUUACUAUAGCUUGACACUGAACAUUGAGCCUUGAUGUGUAGGAUAGGUGGGAGGCUUUGAAGCGUGGACGCCAGUCUGCGUGGAGCCAACCUUGAAAUACCACCCUUUAAUGUUUGAUGUUCUAACGUUGGCCCCUGAUCGGGGUUGCGGACAGUGUCUGGUGGGUAGUUUGACUGGGGCGGUCUCCUCCCAAAGCGUAACGGAGGAGCACGAAGGUUAGCUAAUCCUGGUCGGACAUCAGGAGGUUAGUGCAAUGGCAUAAGCUAGCUUGACUGCGAGCGUGACGGCGCGAGCAGGUGCGAAAGCAGGUCAUAGUGAUCCGGUGGUUCUGAAUGGAAGGGCCAUCGCUCAACGGAUAAAAGGUACUCCGGGGAUAACAGGCUGAUACCGCCCAAGAGUUCAUAUCGACGGCGGUGUUUGGCACCUCGAUGUCGGCUCAUCACAUCCUGGGGCUGAAGUAGGUCCCAAGGGUAUGGCUGUUCGCCAUUUAAAGUGGUACGCGAGCUGGGUUUAGAACGUCGUGAGACAGUUCGGUCCCUAUCUGCCGUGGGCGCUGGAGAAUUGAGGGGGGCUGCUCCUAGUACGAGAGGACCGGAGUGGACGCAUCACUGGUGUUCGGGUUGUCAUGCCAAUGGCACUGCCCGGUAGCUAAAUGCGGAAGAGAUAAGUGCUGAAAGCAUCUAAGCACGAAACUUGCCCCGAGAUGAGUUCUCCCUGAGACUUUAAGUCUCCUGAAGGAACGUUGAAGACGACGACGUUGAUAGGCCGGGUGUGUAAGCGCAGCGAUGCGUUGAGCUAACCGGUACUAAUGAACCGUGAGGCUUAACCUU